rnacentral:rRNA from 1 species
GCAGGCUGAAAUUACGCCUGCAUGAAGCCGGAAUUGCUAGUAAUGGCAGGUCAGCAUACUGCCGUGAAUACGUUCCCGGGCCUUGUACACACCGCCCGUCACACCAUGAGAGUUGGGGAUACCCAAAGCCCGUGAGCCAACUUUAAAAGAGGCAGCGGUCUAAGGUAGAAUCAAUGAUUGGGGUGAAGUCGUAACAAGGUAGC